GUUAAUGUGUGUUUGUGUGUCCGUGCUUAUAUCUGCAGGACAUGUCUGUGCUCAGUGAUGCAGGGGUAAUGAUCAGAAGAGCACGCAUGAACACUUGUGAGUACUACUGCACGAUACACACAUAAACUCACUCUUACAUACAGUGCUCCUGUCACUCAUAAUGAGUAUUCAUAUUUCUCCCAGAAAUAUGAAAAUUUCUGACUGCUGAUCCGACACAAGUGCCUCGUGGUAUUUCCAGAGUCUGAGAGCUAAAGGUUAGAGCGUGUGACCUGAAUCCCCAGACACUCACUCUGGAAGUCUUGGCAGGAGCGACGAGGGGAGUAACAACCUCUGCUGCAUCAGUGAGUACCACAGAAAUCCCCUGAGCAAGGCACUUAACCCACAGUGGCUUUAGGAGAGCUGCCCUGAGUGUCAUAAUUGUUAUCAAAGCCCCUAGAUACAACACCGAGAGGUCAACUCGCCGCACAGUGCCUGGGAUCUCUGUGACUUAAUCUCAUAUUAAUAAGAAACGAUGACGACAUUCAAAUCUAUUUGACCCCACAUUUCCAAAGACUGUUAUGGAUGAGCUGCAGUUAGAAUGGGGUCCAAAUGAAGGCAAUGAAGGAUUCAGGAAUUAACUGUUCGACAUGGACAUAAAGUAAUGGCAGUUUGGGAGAAAAUCAAACCUGUUACCUCAUUUCAAACCAGAUUUAUUUACUUUAUUCCUCUUCCCAAAAAGAGGACACGCGGGGACCGAGUCACGGAGUCACACAAAGUUAAUUUUGAGAGUUUUUCGGGUCGGAUCAAGAGUCUUUUAUGCGUUUCUAACUCAGUAAGACCAGGUGACACAAAAUCAAAACUCGUACAAAACCGCGGACAUUUGAAGGAUUUUAUAAACUUCCUCGGGACAUAGCUUGACAGCCCCCAAAAAAGAGGACAUGUCCGGGUAAAAGAGGACGUAUGGUCCCUUAUAUUAAAGCUCCUGAGAGAAACUUUUGGCAUUCUUCGCAUAUCUUGUCUUGAUUGAUUUUUGACCAAAAACUUAAUCCUGCUGAUUUCUGACAGUCAAAUUUAUUACUUACUAUGGACAUUUAAUGAGAAAAUUGCAAAAUCCAUGAGCUGACACUUGCCUCCUCACACCGAUUUCACAAUUUAGGAUAUGAAAAUCUUUUGUUUCGUUGCCAAUCGUCAUGUUUGCUUUGGGGUACCAUGAUAGGAAUCAAUAUGAAUUUCAGUUUAUUUCAUUAACCUUAAAAAAAACUCUUCACAUGAGCUUCGAGGAUAAAAGCAACACAUUCAUUAGUAUGAGAGGGGUGGGCGAGUGAUCAAAGCUCUGUACACAGAGGCUGAAGUCCUGCUCCAACUCCACCUUUUAUUGAUUUUUUUAAGAAAACAGCUAAAUGAAAAAUCUGUGGAGUGGUUAUUUAUUUUGAAUCUGCUUUUGAGAUGAAAAGUGAUAAUUGAUAAGAAGUUACCAAGACUCUCCAAACUGUUCGUAUCCGAAUAAAAGCACUAGAGAAAUGGUUCAGUGUUAGAAUUUUGACUUGAAGCAUGAGUCUUGUACAAACGCUGCAGAUUCAAAGCUUCAGGUUCUGUUACCAUCUAUUACCUGUUGAUGAUUAGUUUCAGCCUGUGCCCCACAGAUAGGACUGUUUUCUGUAGAACCAUGGACUGCACACAGUUCUGUCUGGGACUGAAACCAUAACCAGCUUUAGUUUUUAAAAAAUACUGUUUGUCUGCAUUUAAUCCCUCCAUCCAUUCAUCCUGUUUCCAAUGUCCUCGGUUUUAUUUUGUGUCAGUUAGAUGAUUUGGGAGCCCCUGUUGCCUGACGGCUGUUUCCAUGGUGACCAGGUCUCUGAAAUAUAUUUGUGCAGUUUCUUCCCUGCCUUCACUGCACUAUAUCUCUGUUCUUAUCUUUGACCUGAAAGCACAAUCUUUCCCGUGAUUCAGCUUUGUUCCUCUUUCAACAGCUCCCUGCUGCUCACACACACCGGGAUCCGGUCCAGGACCAUCGAUCCAGAGGAGGAAGGAGGAAGAGGCGGGGAGGAGGAAAGGUUGGACUGAUGUUCAAGAGCACAAUUCAGGAUGCUUUGAAAUGGAAAUGCAUCAUAGGACACUUUUUACUUCUCAGCUCAGGGGCACGAAUGUUAAAGCUGCCUUGAGUGAGGAAGGGCCUGACUUUUGUGGUUUUCUAUCUUGAACACACAAGCUAUAUGAGGUUUGAUCCUGAGGGACAGAGCCUGUGGUUUGACAAACUUAAAGGAAUAUUCCAGCAUAAAAUUAAUUUAGGGUCAAACACAUUGUAACACUCCUCGAGAGAUGAAUGUUACCGACCGCCUGCUUCUCUAGUUAUAUCAACUUUAGUAACGACCGCAGGAUAGCAAUACAGAGAGGUCUGAGGAGCCAUAAACAAACCUCAACCAAAACGCCACUCUAUAGCCACAAAUAAUGCUCAGAACAGCACCUAACUUCAUCAACAGGACAUAUAGGGUCACAGCCAUAGUACUAGCCACCACACAUCUUUUUAACUUUGACUAAUUUCUUUAGCAAAGAGACUAAACACAACUCACCUACUCUCUCCCAGCAGUCGCUUGUUUGUAGCGAGACCUCGGGCCUGUCCAUUACAGACUACAGCGGGGUGACGCAGCUCAAGGAAGAACAUUUAUGAUCAUUAAAUUAACUUUACGCCGGAAUAUCCCUUUAAGUCUAAUCAUUUACCAAAAUAUAAAAAUAAAAAUUAAUGCAAGAAUGAAACAAAAAUGGGUUGACAUAAAAUUUAAUUCAUGACUUGAAGUAGCAUCGUCUUGCUCUAAGAGUUAUUUUGAAUUUCAAAGUGACUUCCUCUCAGAAGGAGCUAAUAAACUUAAUAUUCCUACUCUCCAACCAUUCUGUCAGUCCCUCAAUCUAUGCAUAUACAUCAUUUCAAAAUAAAAGCAUGCUUUCACACUCUAGGACAUAAAGCAACUCAAACACAAGACAGUAAAAGUGUCAAAAUAAAAGCAUUACAAACCGUCGUUUUCAAAGGCAGUCUCUUCCCCAAAGGUCAACACAAACUGGGUCACUUACAUUAACCUUUACCACAGUGUGUGUCGACUACUGCAGCAAAGAUUACGCCGGAGAAUAUGUCAAAUUAAAGCCAUGUACCUCAAAUAUAAAACGUGCUUACGGAUAAUAUGUAACGCAGAAUAACACACAGACAAUAAUCAAAGUAAUAACAUUGUCAUUGUGAAUAUUCUUGAUUAAUUUAAAUCCAUAACAGCCCUGAACAGAAGAUACAACACACUGCAACAGCUGCUAAAUGGGAAAAACAUCAUUUUUUUAGUGUUUCUUUUUUUUUUCCAGGUCACUUUGAAAAAACAAAAACUUGAUUGAUGGCUCGAACUCGAGGGAUGACAAAGCGGUGCAGAAACCAGGCCACUCUUACAUUGUGAUGGAGGGGAGUAUUGAUCCCAUUUGGACACAGUGACUGCUUCGAAUUAGAAUCACACAGGCAUGCACUCAUACUAAGAAUCCUGCACGCAGCCUCACAGGCAAACAUUUACAUAGCAACACAAACAUGUCUGUGCAGUCACAACUAGACGACAACAUUUACACACACUAAGUGGAUCACUGUCUCAUUAGCUCCUGUGUUAUGCAAUCAAGUAUGCUUUCCUUUCCAUCACUUCUUAACUGUUCAUCAUUGUGUGCAUGCGUGUGUGUGCAUAUAUGGCAGCUGCGUAAUAUCCACGGCCUUUUGCUCCAUCUUAAGUCUCUAAAAACAGCAGUAUAAUUGUCUAAUCUCCCACAGCAGGUGGUGCAUACAGAAAUAAAACAUGUGAGGAGGCUGCAGCUUCCCUCUGACCACCUCCAACACACAUUGUUUCCAUGUGAUCCCUGUUCUCUUGUGUGCGUGGCGGUGGUUUCCAUUCCCUGGAAUAACUCAGUGUAAGCCAUCUUUAUUCCAGUGUGAUGCUGCAGAAAGAACCAGCUCAGGUCUGAUUUCAUAUCAGUUAAUUCUCUCACCCUCUAUGUCUCCUUUCCCGUCACUAUCGGCACAAAUUGAAGAUCAUCCCGUGUUUUUUAGUCUUCACUGAUGCUCACAUCUGCCAUCAAAAAUGAUGACAUGCUAAUGCAGGCUGUAUCCUGCAUUCAGAGGACGGUGUGUUUGUUCCGGUGUUUGCCCCAGAUGAUAGUGAUGAUGCAGAUGUGCAUUUUGUUUUUGUUUCACAGCAAAGAACAAGAUUCACACUGAACAGAUGCUGCCAAUUAAGCAAAAACACACAAGGGAGGUGAUUCAAUCCACCUCAUCUUUGGAAUUAUAAUAAGAAUUUUAAAAAAUACAAAGGACUGGAGAUGUUUAUAAAGUAUUUGUAGAGAACCUCACCAAUGCAUCCAUCUUUUAGUACACUUUAUGUCUCAUAUUGGUGAUAAACCAGACUGGAUUACCACCAUCCAUUGACUUUGUUGGCAGUCCAACAGCAGGUUCAGAUAGUUUGAGGGUCUAGUUUUAUUUAUUUAUUUAUUUAUUUUUUAACAAAAAACAAGAGCCCAGUUAAAAACAAGGCCUCCGAAUUGAAGGUCAAUUUCAUUUGUCAUAAGGAACCCAGACAAUACAAGAACCCUACAACAUAAAAUGUGACAGUAGUUCAAAUAAGACAUAAUUUCUUAAAACAGCAUAACAAAUAUAAGUGAUGUUGUCUUAAAUCAAGAUACCAAAACAUUCUCAUUUAAUAUAUAUUUUUAUUCCACAAGCAGGCAUGAAGAAAACAAGCAUGUUCUUUGUGGUUUUGCAGUUUUCAUCUGGUCAUUGUAUUAUGUUGUGUGUCGUACAGACUAGCCUCCUGACGUCUUUAUAUGUCAGAUAAUGUAUGAUUCAGCGGAUUCUGUCAGGUUCAGAUGACCUGCAAUAGAAAUCUUCAUUUAAAAAAAAAAUGCUUCAUGGCAUUCUUGAAUUGAAAAGUUGUACAUAUAUCUUACUCUUAAAAUGAGACGAAUAAUCUUGUUGCUCCGCCG
rnacentral:lncRNA from 1 species